rnacentral:rRNA from 1 species
UACAGAGGCGGCAAGCGUUGUUCGGAAUUAUUGGGCGUAAAGAGCACGUAGGCGGCUUUGUAAGUCAGUUGUGAAAGCCUUCUGCUUAACGGAAGAACAGCAUCUGAUACUGCAAGGCUAGAGUGCGGAAGGGGAGAGUGGAACUUCUGGUGGAGCGGUGAAAUGCGUAGAUAUCAGAAGGAACACCGGCGGCGAAGGCGACUCUCUGGUCCGUAACUGACGCUGAGUGUGCGAAAGCUAGGGGAGCAAACGGG